rnacentral:rRNA from 1 species
UAUCCUACGGGGGGCAGCAGUGAGGAAUAUUGGUCAAUGGUCGGGAGACUGAACCAGCCAAGCCGCGUGAGGGAUGAAGGUACAGAGGAUCGUAAACCUCUUUUGUCAGGGAACAAAGGCGGGGACGUGUCCCCGGAUGAGAGUACCCGACUAAGAAGCCCCGGCUAACUACGUGCCAGCAGCCGCGGGAAUACGGAGGGGGCAAGCGUUAUCCGGAUUUACUGGGGGUAAAGGGAGCGUAGGUGGCAGGGCAAGUCAGAGGUGAGAA